UACAGAGGGUGCGAGCGUUAAUCGGAAUUACUGGGCGUAAAGCGUGCGCAGGCGGUUCGUUAAGUCAGAUGUGAAAGCCCCGGGCUCAACCUGGGAACUGCAUUUGAAACUGGCGGGCUUGAGUGUGGCAGAGGGGGGUGGGAAUUCCGCGUGUAGCAGUGAAAUACGUAGAGAUGCGGAGGAACACCGAUGGCGAAGGCAGCCCCCUGGGCCAACACUGACGCUCAGGCACGAAAGCGUGGGGAGCAAACAGG
rnacentral:rRNA from 1 species